rnacentral:rRNA from 1 species
AACGAACGCUGGCGGCAGGCCUAAAACAUGCAAGUCGAACGAACCUUCGGGUUAGUGGCGCACGGGUGCGUAACGCGUGGGAAUGUGCCUCUGGGUGCGGAACAACGUCGGGAAACUGACGCUAAUACCGCAUAAUAUCUACGGAUCAAAGAUUUAUCGCCCAGAGAUCAGCCCGCGUCUGAUUAGGUAGUUGGUAGGGUAAUGGCCUACCAAGCCUACGAUCAGUAGCUGGUCUGAGAGGAUGAUCAGCCACACUGGAACUGAGACACGGUCCAGACUCCUACGGGAGGCAGCAGUUAGGAAUAUUGGACAAUGGGGGAAACCCUGAUCCAGCCAUGCCGCGUGUGUGAAGAAGGCCUUAGGGUUGUAAAGCACUUUCGUCUAUGAAGGUAAUGACAGUAGUAGAAGAAGAAGCUCCGGCUAAAUUCGUGCCAGCAGCCGCGUAA